rnacentral:rRNA from 1 species
UACGAAGGGGGCUAGCGUUGUUCGGAAUUACUGGGCGUAAAGCGCGCGCAGGCGGUUCUCCAAGUCAGGGGUGAAAGCCCGGAGCUCAACUCCGGAACUGCCAUUGAAACUGUUGAACUUGAGGACGAGAGAGGUGAGUGGAAUUCCCAGUGUAGAGGUGAAAUCCGUAGAUAUUGGGAAGAACACCAGUGGCGAAGGCGGCUCACUGGCUCGUAUCUGACGCUCAGGCGCGAUAGCGUGGGGAUCAAACAGG